GCUAGUAAUCGUGGAUCAGCAUGCCACGGUGAAUACGUUCCCGGGCCUUGUACACACCGCCCGUCACACCAUGGGAGUCGGUAACACCCGAAGCCUGUAGUCUAACCGCAAGGAGGACGCAGUCGAAGGUGGGAUUGAUGACUGGGGUGAAGUCGUAACAAGGUAUC
rnacentral:rRNA from 1 species